UUGACACUUCAGUUGCGAGGUAUCGUCAAAUGCGAUAAAGAGUAAUGUUUAGUGAGAAGAGAAAGAUGAUACGAAGAAAGAAUCAUCACUGUUAUCCAUUAGUGACAUUACAUGCAGUUUUUUCUAGUUCAAGAAUGUAAUAGAAUCGAAAUAAUUGAUAUUUAACAGUUUAACUUAGAGCUUAAAUGAUGUUUGAACUUAAACUAGCUUAAUCUAAACAUAACUAUUAUCACAGAUUUCUAUCACAGAUCGAGCAAAAACGAACACAAAACGAAUAUGGAACAACCUAAAAAGUAGCUCAACACCGAAAAUUUUUAUAGCUUUCUCACACCACAAAAUUGAGUUUGUGAACUGCUCAGAAAAGUCGGACAGAGCUACUUGUUCCCGCAACAGUCAUCUGUGUUUUAUAGGUAUACAUUUUGAUAGACACUCAUGUAAUAU